rnacentral:rRNA from 1 species
GAUGAACGCUGGCGGCGUGCUUAACACAUGCAAGUCGAACGGGAAACCUUUUAUUGAAGCUUCGGCAGAUUUAGCUGGUUUCUAGUGGCGGACGGGUGAGUAACGCGUGGGUAACCUGCCUUAUACAGGGGGAUAACAACCAGAAAUGAUUGCUAAUACCGCAUAAGCGCACAGGACCGCAUGGUCCGGUGUGAAAAACUCCGGUGGUAUAGGAUGGACCCGCGUUGGAUUAGCUUGUUGGUGGGGUAACGGCCCACCAAGGCGACGAUCCAUAGCCGGCCUGAGAGGGUGAACGGCCACAUUGGGACUGAGACACGGCCCAGACUCCUACGGGAGGCAGCAGUGGGGAAUAUUGCACAAUGGGGGAAACCCUGAUGCAGCGACGCCGCGUGAAGGAAGAAGUAUCUCGGUAUGUAAACUUCUAUCAGCAGGGAAGAUAGUGACG